rnacentral:lncRNA from 1 species
UGCCUGCAAAUGCAUGCUUGUCCAAGCCAAGCACCCAAGCUAACUGGCUAAAGUUGGCUAGUUUGCUAGCUAGCUACUUCCAGACACAAAUGAGAGAACACCUCACUCUUACCAUUUUACUUGCCGUAGCAAAACUGGUUAGGCUGUUUACAUGUUAUCUAGAGCAUUCUUGACUAACUAUUACUUUUUUUGCCUACGUUUACUGACACCUGUCAUAUUCAGCGGGUGUUACGCGUUCAUAAAUUCAUCAGUUGUUCUGCGAUCUGGCACACUCCGACGAGAGUGCUCUGAAAUCGGAGUAGAUAGCCAGAGUGAAUUUGCGAAUGCAAGAGAUAUGUUAACUGGGGGAUAUGGCUCACUGCAUCAUGGUGCAUGAAUGUGAAGAAGGGACGCUGGCCUAUAGCCACCUAUGGCAUAAUGCCACUCAAUGCACAGUGCUGGCUCUCGAUCUGACAUUUACAGAAUCUGUCUACAACUGACUUUGUGAGUGAGAUAACAAGGGUACACAUUGUGGAUUUAAAAAGAUCUGCCUGCCUUACAACAACAAAAAAGUGAACUGUAAUCUAGGCCUAUUGUCUUUUACAAGAGUGAAUUGAUGCAUGUCCUAGUUGAAUAAAUUAAGUUUCAUCUCUAUGAUGUCAUGACUUGGACCUUUUGAAAAUUACACUCAUAACAAAAGCAGUACCUAUAGACUAUAACUGCCCCAGUUUUGUAUUGGCUGAAAUCCUCUUGACCACAAAUGACAGCCAAACCCAUAUCCUCUCUCCUCUCUCUCCCUCUCCUCAGGCUGUAGAUCUCAGAUGACCUCUCCCCUUUGUCCUCGGAACCCUGGUCUGCCCUCACAGCCACUCCCCUCUCCUCGGCUGUCCUAAACUCUGUGGGAAACCUCCCAGCGCAUUGUGUCGUCUGGACAUUGUGUGUCCUUUAAGAUAAUGCCCCGACCUCAAUAUCCCACUUCCCUUCCAUACAAUCCCCACCCUCCCAGCUGAAGAAGUGCUGUGUGAAGUAUGGUGCCCAGCACUAACUGGCAUAUAAGUGGGGGACUGGGGAGAGCCAGAGAGAUCCUGGCUGUGGGGUUAAAAGGUGCUUUCCAACUAGCCUCGCAGGACAGCAGCACAGCCUCUAACUCCCUGCUCCUGUACAUUUGGAAUUUCACCUAUUCAAAUCCCCCUGCUUUUCUAGUGAGUGUCAGAACUUCAUGAAUAAUUGGACGGUUAGAGAGAAGUCCUGGUCUGGCUGCUUGACCUCUCCCCAGGACUUCAGUCAUUACAGCUGGUGAUUGGGUCGUUAGCCAGCUUGUGUUGUAUGUGUGUAAUGAGCACAAUUUAGAGUCUGAUUGAUUUAUGAAGCGUUUGUAUUUCCCCAGGUAUAUUCAAGAGGAGAUAAAGCAUGAAAGAUAGAAAUAAUUGUCAAUGUAAGUGUAAAUAAAAAUGGUCAAACA